UACGUAGGGGGCAAGCGUUGUCCGGAAUCAUUGGGCGUAAAGAGCGCGUAGGCGGCCCUGUAAGUCCGCUGUGAAAGUCAAGGGCUCAACCCUUGAAUGCCGGUGGAUACUGCAGGGCUAGAGUCCGGAAGAGGCGACUGGAAUUCCUGGUGUAGCAGUGAAAUGCGUAGAAUAUCAGGAGGAACACCGAUGGCGAAGGCAGGUCUCUGGGACUGACACUGACGCUCAUGCACGAAAGCGUGGGGA
rnacentral:rRNA from 1 species